rnacentral:RNase_P_RNA from 1 species
UGAGUAGGUCGAAUGGUCGCGGGAGCAGUGCUGAAAAGCCGCUCACGAGGAAAGUCCGGGCUCCGCAGGGCAAGGGUGCCGGGUAACACCCGGUGAAGGCGACUUCAAGGAAAGUGCAACAGAAAUAAACCGCCUGUAUUGAUACGAUACAGGUAAGGGUGGAAAGGUGAGGUAAGAGCUCACCGGCCGAUCGGCGACGUGAGGCGCUAUGUAAACCCCACCCGGAGCAACACCGUGACAAGGAACAUAAGGGCGGCCCGCCCGUUCCUUAGAGGUGGCUGGAGCCUUGUAGCAAUACAGGGCGUAGAUAGAUGACCAUUCAAGACAGAACCCGGCUUACAGACCUGCUCAAUAA